rnacentral:lncRNA from 1 species
CGCCACGUCCACGUUCUGGUUCCUCCUCCACGCGCUCUGCUGCCUCGUCUCGCUCUUCCUCGGGUUCCGCUUCUCCAGGCUCCUCUUCUUCCUGCUCUUCUCCACCACCGCGCUCUACUCCUCCACCUCGUCGUCCUCCUCCUCCGCCGUGCUCCGCGCCACGACGACGACGACGACCACCACCACAACCACCACGACCACCACCAACACCUUCACCCUCUCCUUCCAAGCCAACCCAAACCCUCCCCCAUCUAACCUCUCCAACCACACUGCCCUGGACGCGGCGGGGGCGGCCGGGCACACGCAGAGCCACGUGGUGGUGGGGCGGCAUGGGAUACGGAUCCGGCCAUGGCCGCACCCUGACCCCGUCGAGGUGAUGCGGGCGCACCGGAUCAUGGAGCGCGUGCAGGAGGAGCAGCGGAGGUGGUAUGGCGUCAAGGAGCCGCGCCAUGUCCUGGUCGUGACGCCCACCUACUCCCGCGCGUUCCAGGCGCUCCACCUCACCGGCCUCCUCCACUCCCUCCGCAACGUGCCCUACCCGCUCACCUGGAUCGUGGUCGAGGCAGGCGGCACCACCAACGCCACCGCGUCCCUCCUUGCACGCUCCGACCUUACCAUCGUUCACAUCCCCUUCCCUGACCGCAUGCCUCAUGACUGGGCUGACCGUCACGCAACCGAGA